rnacentral:rRNA from 1 species
CCUACGGGUGGCUGCAGUCGAGAAUCUUCGGCAAUGGGCGCAAGCCUGACCGAGCGACGCCGCGUGCGGGAUGAAGGCCUUCGGGUUGUAAACCGCUGUCGAGGAGGAGCAACUUCCAUAGGGUUCUCCCUAUGGAUUGAGCGAUUCCUGGAGGAAGGACGGGCUAAGUUCGUGCCAGCAGCCGCGGUAAGACGAACCGUCCAAACGUUAUUCGGUAUCACUGGGCUUAAAGAGUUCGUAGGCGGCUAAACAGGUGAGGUGUGAAAGCCCUCGGCUCAACCGAGGAAUUGCGCUUCAAACCGUUUAGCUAGAGGAAGACAGAGGUGGGCGGAACUGAUGGUGGAGCGGUGAAAUGCGUUGAUAUCAUCAGGAACACCGGUGGCGAAAGCGGCUCACUGGGUCUUAUCUGACGCUGAGGAACGAAAGCUAGGGGAGCGAACGGGAUUAGAUACCCUUGUAGUC